rnacentral:piRNA from 1 species
UGGACUGGUGAACAUGAUGUGCCACUAGU